AUCUCAUCACUGUUAAGGAAGGAGAGAAGAGAUCCUCUUCCCUCAACAUAGAAUGGUUGUUUCUUAAUCAAUUAGUUUCAGCGUUUGGACUGUGUGGUCUGUGUGUUCUGGUAUCUGCUGAGUCACCAGAAAUCUGCCAAGACACUGACACUUGCGCCUGCUCCAACAUCUGGCGCACAAGGGCUUUAAGGUUUCCAGAACCAAGCUGCAAUAUUGCAUGGACACUUAAACAAUGGAUCCCUGACUGCUCUUUUUAUGACAAGCUUCUCCGUUCUGCAAUCUCUCAUCACGAUCCACUGCAACAUCCUUUGACCUGGACUGACGCUAUGGUGGUCGCUUAUCACUCCCUCAAAAGCACCCUUUGUUCCGCCCCUGGGGUUACCUGAUCACUUCAAGCCCUUCCACCUCUAUGCCUGUGAACACCAAGGCACAGCUGUUGGCCCGGGAGCAUGGGGGGGAAUGCAUCAUUGUGUGUUUUUAUCCAAAACAUUCGACACUGUUGC